GACGAACGCUGGCGGCGUGCUUAACACAUGCAAGUCGAACGGAAAGGUCCUGCUUUUGUGGGGUGCUCGAGUGGCGAACGGGUGAGUAACACGUGAGUAACCUGCCCUUGACUUUGGGAUAACUUCAGGAAACUGGGGCUAAUACCGGAUAGGAGCUCCUGCUGCAUGGGGGGGGUUGGAAAGUUUCGGCGGUUGGGGAUGGACUCGCGGCUUAUCAGCUUGUUGGUGGGGUAGUGGCUUACCAAGGCUUUGACGGGUAGCCGGCCUGAGAGGGUGACCGGCCACAUUGGGACUGAGAUACGGCCCAGACUCCUACGGGAGGCAGCAGUGGGGAAUAUUGCACAAUGGGCGGAAGCCUGAUGCAGCAACGCCGCGUGCGGGAUGACGGCCUUCGGGUUGUAAACCGCUUUCGCCUGUGACGAAGCGUGAGUGACGGUAAUGGGUAAAGAAGCACCGGCUAACUACGUG
rnacentral:rRNA from 1 species